rnacentral:rRNA from 1 species
AUUGAACGCUGGCGGCAGGCCUAACACAUGCAAGUCGAGCGGAUGAAGGGAGCUUGCUCCUGGAUUCAGCGGCGGACGGGUGAGUAAUGCCUAGGAAUCUGCCUGGUAGUGGGGGAUAACGUCCGGAAACGGGCGCUAAUACCGCAUACGUCCUGAGGGAGCAAGUGGGGGAGCUUCGGACCUCACGCUAUCAGAUGAGCCUAGGUCGGAUUAGCUAGUUGGUGGGGUAAAGGCCUACCAAGUCGACGAUCCGUAACUGGUCUGAGAGGAUGAUCAGUCACACUGGAGCUGAGACACGGUCCAGACUCCUACGGGAGGCAGCAGUGGGGAAUAUUGGACAAUGGGCGAAAGCCUGAUCCAGCCAUGCCGCGUGUGUGAAAAAGGUCUUCGGAUUGUAAAGCACUUUAAGUUGGGAGGAAGGGCAGUAAGUUAAUACCUUGCUGUUUUGACGUUACCAACAGAAUAAGCACCGGCUAACUUCGUG